rnacentral:rRNA from 1 species
AGUGAACGCUGGCGGUAGGCCUAACACAUGCAAGUCGAACGGAAGCACAGUAAGAGCUUGCUCUUACGGGUGGCGAGUGGCGGACGGGUGAGGAAUACAUCGGAAUCUACUAUUUCGUGGGGGACAACGUAGGGAAAGUUACGCUAAUACCGCAUAUGACCUACGGGAGAAAGCAGGGGAUCUUCGCACCUUUCGCGAUACAAUUAGACGAUGUCGGAUUAGCUAGUUGGCGGGGUAAAGGCCCACCAAGGCGACGAUCCGUAGCGGGUCUGAGAGGAUGAUCAGCCACACUGGAACUGAGACACGGUCCAGACUCCUACGGGAGGCAGCAGUGGGGAAUAUUCGACAAUGGGCGCAAGCCUGAUCCAGCCACACCGCGUGGGUGAAGAAGGCCUUCGGGUUGUAAAGCCCUGUUAUUGGGGAAGAAAAACAGCAGAUUAAUACCCCGCUGUUUUGACGGUACCUAAAGAAUAAGCAACGGCUAACUUCGUG